rnacentral:rRNA from 1 species
ACAAGCAGAGGGGGCUUAGUGGUGGGGUGACUGCGUACCUUUUGUAUAAUGGGUCAGCGACUUAUAUUCUGUAGCAAGGUUAACCGUAUAGGGGAGCCGGAGGGAAACCGAGUCUUAAUUGGGCGUUAAGUUGCAGGGUAUAGACCCGAAACCCGGUGAUCUAGCCAUGGGCAGGUUGAAGGUUGGGUAACACUAACUGGAGGACCGAACCGACUAAUGUUGAAAAAUUAGCGGAUGACCUGUGGCUGGGGGUGAAAGGCCAAUCAAACCGGGAGAUAGCUGGUUCUCCCCGAAAGCUAUUUAGGUAGCGCCUCGUGAAUUCAUCUCCGGGGGUAGAGCACUGUUUCGGCUAGGGGGCCAUCCCGGCUUACCAACCCGAUGCAAACUGCGAAUACCGGAGAAUGUUAUCACGGGAGACACACGGCGGGUGCUAACGUCCGUCGUGAAGAGGGAAACAACCCAGACCGCCAGCUAAGGUCCCAAAGUCAUGGUUAAGUGGGAAACGAUGUGGGAAGGCCCAGACAGCCAGGAUGUUGGCUUAGAAGCAGCCAUCAUUUAAAGAAAGCGUAAUAGCUCACUGGUCGAGUCGGCCUGCGCGGAAGAUGUAACGGGGCUAAACCAUGCACCGAAGCUGCGGCAGCGAACGUAUCACUUAAAGCGAUUCAGCGGGUUACGAUUGACGGAGCGAAGCGACGUCAAAGCGUAUACAAAGUCGAGUCGGUUUAAGGAUACGUUCGUUGGGUAGGGGAGCGUUCUGUAAGCCUGCGAAGGUGGCCUGUGAGGGUUGCUGGAGGUAUCAGAAGUGCGAAUGCUGACAUAAGUAACGAUAAAGCGGGUGAAAAGCCCGCUCGCCGGAAGACCAAGGGUUCCUGUCCAACGUUAAUCGGGGCAGGGUGAGUCGACCCCUAAGGCGAGGCCGAAAGGCGUAGUCGAUGGGAAACGGGUUAAUAUUCCCGUACUUGGUGUUACUGCGAAGGGGGGACGGAGAAGGCUAUGUUGGCCGGGCGACGGUUGUCCCGGUUUAAGCGUGUAGGCUGGUUUUCCAGGCAAAUCCGGAAAAUCAAGGCUGAGGCGUGACGACGAGGCACUACGGUGCUGAAGCAACAAAUGCCCUGCUUCCAGGAAAAGCCUCUAAGCAUCAGGUAACACGAAAUCGUACCCCAAACCGACACAGGUGGUCAGGUAGAGAAUACCAAGGCGCUUGAGAGAACUCGGGUGAAGGAACUAGGCAAAAUGGUGCCGUAACUUCGGGAGAAGGCACGCUGACACGUA